GCCCAUUUGGCUCAGUGGAUAGAGCAUUGGCCUGUAGACUGAAAGGUCCCUGGUUCGAUUCCAGUCAAGGGCA
rnacentral:tRNA from 1 species